GACGAGGUAAUGAACAGAACGAGUACUCUCGUAAGCAGCGCCUUUCAGGGAGAAAGGGCCGUGACUGUAAGCCCUUUUAAGGCGUUAUGGGAGGAAGACACCUGGGAGCCGUGCACCGAACGCGACCAACCGCCAGUAGGCUGCACCGGGUGGCGACCGUUACAGCGACCGGAAAGUGGAACGCAUGAUACGUGCGUUCAACAAGGGUGGUACCGCGGGAAUCCUCUCGUCCCUGCA
rnacentral:ncRNA from 1 species